CCUACGGGAGGCAGCAGUAAGGAAUAUUGGUCAAUGGACGCAAGUCUGAACCAGCCAUGCCGCGUGAAGGAUUAAGGUCCUCUGGAUUGUAAACUUCUUUUAUUUGGGACGAAAAAGGGUCUUUCUAGGCCAACUGACGGUACCAGAUGAAUAAGCACCGGCUAACUCCGUGCCAGCAGCCGCGGUAAUACGGAGGGUGCAAGCGUUAUCCGGAUUCACUGGGUUUAAAGGGUGCGUAGGCGGGUAGGUAAGUCAGUGGUGAAAUCCUAGAGCUUAACUCUAGAACUGCCAUUGAUACUAUUUAUCUUGAAUAUUGUGGAGGUAANCGGAAUAUGUC
rnacentral:rRNA from 1 species